GUUGUACUCCCUCCGUCUGAAAAUACCUGUCAUGAAAAUGGAUAACAAGGGACGUAUCUAGAACUAAUAUACGUCUAGAUACAUCCCAUUUUAUUCAUUUUGAUGACUAGUAUUUCCGGACGGAGGGAGUAGGAA
rfam:Triticum aestivum genome assembly, contig: Triticum_aestivum_CS42_TGACv1_scaffold_289851_4AL